AGUGAACGCUGGCGGUAGGCCUAACACAUGCCAGUCGAACGGCAGCACAGUAAGAGCUUGCUCUUACGGGUGGCGAGUGGCGGACGGGUGAGGAAUACAUCGGAAUCUACUUUUUCGUGGGGGAUAACGUAGGGAAACUUACGCUAAUACCGCAUACGACCUACGGGUGAAAGCAGGGGAUCUUCGGACCUUGCGCGAUUGAAUGAGCCGAUGUCGGAUUAGCUAGUUGGCGGGGUAAAGGCCCACCAAGGCGACGAUCCGUAGCUGGUCUGAGAGGAUGAUCAGCCACACUGGAACUGAGACACGGUCCAGACUCCUACGGGAGGCAGCAGCGGGGAAUAUUGGACAAUGGGCGCAAGCCUGAUCCAGCCAUACCGCGUGGGUGAAGAAGGCCUUCGGGUUGUAAAGCCCUUUUGUUGGGAAAGAAAGGCAGCAGGUUAAUACCCCGCUGUUCUGACGGUACCCAAAGAAUAAGCACCGGCUAACUUCGUG
rnacentral:rRNA from 1 species